rnacentral:piRNA from 1 species
AGAAGGCAGCCUUCUGGGA